CUCAGUCUCUCACUCCUAUUGACCUGCCCUCUGAAACCCAGACCACCCUAUCUCCUCCCUCGUCGGAUCUUUCCGAGAAAUCCAACACUGACGAUCGUUUCGGUAGAUACGUCGGAGAAGGAAAGAAUCGCGAAGAUACAGGUGCUGGCUCUGGUUAAGAUAAAGGCUUGAAACAAUGUCAAUAAUGUCUUUAUAUGUUAUUCCCAGAAGGCUCUUUGUCUUGAUUAUGCACAAACCGACUGCUUUCUAUCUUUAAAUUAACGACUAUAGGAAAAGGAUUCAUCAUUUUCCUUGAUGGAA